GGAGGCAUGGCUCAAUGGUAGAACAUCUGCUUUGUAUGCAGAAAAUCCCAGGUUCAGUCCUUGUCAUCUCCA
rnacentral:tRNA from 1 species